rnacentral:rRNA from 1 species
CCUAGGAAUCNUGCCUGGUAGUGGGGGACAACGUUUCGAAAGGAGCGCUAAUACCGCAUACGUCCUACGGGAGAAAGCAGGGGACCUUCGGGCCUUGCGCUAUCAGAUGAGCCUAGGUCGGAUUAGCUAGUUGGUGAGGUAAUGGCUCACCAAGGCGACGAUCCGUAACUGGUCUGAGAGGAUGAUCAGUCACACUGGAACUGAGACACGGUCCAGACUCCUACGGGAGGCAGCAGUU